AGGACGAACGCUGGCGGCGUGCUUAACACAUGCAAGUCGAACGAGGUGCUUGCACCUAGUGGCGAACGGGUGAGUAACACGUGAGCAACCUGCCCUUGGCUCUGGGAUAGCCUCCGGAAACGGGGAUUAAUACCGGACAUGACCUUCUUCCGCAUGGUUGAAGGUGGAAAGUUUUUCGGCCAGGGAGGGGCUCGCGGCCUAUCAGCUUGUUGGAGGGGUAACGGCCCACCAAGGCGACGACGGGU
rnacentral:rRNA from 1 species